GGACCAGACUCCUACGGGAGGCAGCAGUGAGGAAUAUUGGUCAAUGGGCGAGAGCCUGAACCAGCCAAGUCGCGUGAGGGAAGACGGUCCUAUGGAUUGUAAACCUCUUUUGUCGGGGAGCAAAAAGGCCUCGUGAGGCCACAAGCGAGAGUACCCGAAGAAAAAGCAUCGGCUAACUCCGUGCCAGCAGCCGCGGUAAUACGGAGGAUGCGAGCGUUAUCCGGAUUUAUUGGGUUUAAAGGGUGCGUAGGGGGGAGAUCAGGUCAGCGGUAAAAAGGCGGGGCCCAACCCCGUCGAGCCGUUGAAACUGGUUUUCUUGAGUGGGCGAGAGGUAUGCGGAAUGCGUGGUGUAGCGGUGAAAUGCAUAGAUAUCACGCAGAACCCCGAUUGCGAAGGCAGCAUACCGGCGCCCAACUGACGCUGAGGCACGAAAGCGUGGGUAUCGAACAGGAUUAGAUACCCGGGUA
rnacentral:rRNA from 1 species